rnacentral:rRNA from 1 species
GUUGUCCAGGAAAAGAAUGUAAGUUCAACUUUAAAAAUACCUAAAAAGCCGCUAAUUUUAAUGUAUUUUUAAAAGCUAGUCUAAAAGGGUACAGCUUUUUAGACCGAGGAUACAGCCUUACUUAGAGAGUAAAAACAACCAAUACCAUAGUUGGCUUAAAAGCAGCCAUCAAUUAAGAAAGCGUUCAAGCUCAACAUUCAAUAGAAUUUUAAUUCCAAUAAUCAACAAGGAACUCCUAAUCCAAUACUGGACUAAUCUAUUAAUCAAUAGAAGCAAUAAUGUUAAUAUGAGUAACAAGAAAUAUUUCUCCCUGCAUAAGCUUAUGUCAGCAACGGAUAUUCUACUGACAGUUAACACUUAAUAAAUCUAACCCACCAAUGAACAAUUUAUUAAACUCACUGUUAACCCAACACAGGCAUGCAUUAAGGAAAGAUUAAAAGAAGCAAAAGGAACUCGGCAAACACGAGCCCCGCCUGUUUACCAAAAACAUCACCUCUAGCAUUACUAGUAUUAGAGGCACUGCCUGCCCAGUGACACUCGUUAAACGGCCGCGGUAUCCUG